AAUAUUGGACAAUGGGCUCAAGCCUGAUCUAGCCAUGCCGCGUGAUUGAUGAAGGCCCUAGGUUUGUAAAGCUCUUUCACCGGUGAAGAUAAUGACGGUAACCGGAGCAGAAACCCCGGCUAACCUCGGUCCAGCAACUGCGGUAAUCCGAAGGGGGCUAGCGUUGUUCGGAAUUACUGGGCGUAAAGCGCACGUAGGCGGAUCGGUCAGUUAGGGGUGAAAUCCCGGGGCUCAACCCCGGAACUGCCUUUAAUACUGCCGGUCUAGAGUCCGAGAGAGGUGAGUAGAAUUCCGAGUGUAGAGGUGAAAUUCGUAGAUAUUCGGAGGAACACCAGUGGCGAAGGCGGCUCACUGGCUCGGUACUGACGCUGAGGUGCGAAAGCGUGGGGAGCAAACAG
rnacentral:rRNA from 1 species